rnacentral:rRNA from 1 species
UACGUAGGGCGCAAGCGUUGUCCGGAAUUAUUGGGCGUAAAGAGCUCGUAGGCGGCUUGUCACGUCGGAUGUGAAAGCCCGGGGCUUAACCCCGGGUCUGCAUUCGAUACGGGCUAGCUAGAGUGUGGUAGGGGAGAUCGGAAUUCCUGGUGUAGCGGUGAAAUGCGCAGAUAUCAGGAGGAACACCGGUGGGCGAAGGCGGUUCUCUGGGCCUUACCUGACGCUGAGGAGCGAAAAGCGUGGGGGAGCGAACAGG